rnacentral:lncRNA from 1 species
GUGCAUGCGGACUACUGACAUAAAGUUGGUAUAUCAAAAAUCGCCAGCACAGAAAGUGCAUAACGGCUAUAUACCAUGAUCAUCAGAGGGCCUUAACUGCCCAUCCCACAAUUAUAUUGUGCCGAAAUAAGAGGGAUCCACGUGUCUAACCAUUACAAAUCGUUACCAACAGAUUAUCUAUAAAAGGAAGGUAAAUGAAUAGCUUUGGUAAGACACUUCUGAGCUAAUACUCUAUCACUUUGAAUAUUAUAUCAGUUGUUCACUACUUCCCACUGACUUAAGCAUUAGAGAGUUUCCGCCAGAUAUAAUUCCGGUCUGCGGACUUCUUUUAUAGGUUGCUCUUCGUCGGAGCUAGGCGCAACAGGGGAUUGAUCGCAACAGAUCCAAGUCUUAAGUUAAAUAUCUCCACCCUCAUUUGGCAAGAAAGGAUUGAUUGAAUUGAUUGAUGUCCAUUACUCCUAAUCCUCCCUCAUCUUCUUGAAGACACAUUGUGCUCCAAUGAAUUUUACAAAAUACUUCAUUGACCAUUUGUCUGAAUUCUAUAAAGAUCUCCUAAACCGUCAAUUUUUCUCACAACCCAUACAGUUAAUUUGGAUAAAGACAUGUAAUAGAGAAGGAGGGCAGUAAGAACAAUUAGUCUUCCCCCAGAGGACAGGCAUUUCCCUUUACAAGACAUGUUAUUCUUUCACAAUAAAAUGGUUGACAUUCCAUGAUGUCUGUGCGCCAGAGAGAGAGAGAGAGAGAGAGAGAAGACCAAAUUACCCAGAACAAACAGAGAAAACUAGCCCCUGUAAUUCAGUGCCACACUCCCAACAAGCUUAACAACUCUUCUUCACUAAAAAGCACAUCCAACUUUUGNNN